GAAUGGGUCAGAAGGGGCCUGGAAGGUCAGAGAAGGGGUCAGAAUAUGGGUUGGAAGGGGUCCUGGAAGGGCAGAGAAGGGGUUGGAGGGUCCUGGAAGGUCAGAGAAGGGGUCAGAAAGGACGUGGAAGGUCCUCAAAGGUCAGAAUAUGGGUUGGAAGGGUCCUGGAAGGUCAGAGAAGGGGUCAGAAGGGUCCUGGAAGGUCAGAGAAGGGGUCAGAAGGGUCCUGGAAGGUCAGAGAAGGGGUCAGAAGGGUCCUGGAAGGUCCUCAAAGGUCAGAAUAUGGGUUGGAAGGGGUCCUGGAAGGUCAGAGAAGGGGUUGGAGGGUCAUGGAAGGUCAAAGAAUGGGUCAGAAGGGUCCUGGAAGGUCAGAGAAGGGGUUCAAAGUUCCUGGAAGGACCUAAUAGGUCAGAGAAAGAGUUGGAAGGGUCCUGGAAGGUCACAGCGCCACAGAAUGGGUUGGGAAAGACCUGGAAGGUCUCAGAAGGACGGGUUGGGUUGGGAAGGUCCUGGAAGGUCAGAAUAUGGGUUGGGAAGGUCCUGGAAGGUCUCAGAAGGACGGGCUGGGUUGGGAAGGUCCUGGAAGGUCAGAAUAUGGGUUGGGAAAGACCUGGAAGGUCUCAGAAGGACGGGUUGGGUUGGGAAGGUCCUGGAAGGUCAGAAUAUGGGUUGGGAAGGUCCUGGAAGGUCUCAGAAGGACGGGUUGGGUUGGGAAGGUCCUGGAAGGUCAGAAUAUGGAUUGGGAAAGACCUGGAAGUUCUCAGAAGGAUGGGUUGGGUUGGGAAGGUCCUGGAAGGUCACAGCGCCAUAGAAUGGGUUGGGAAAGAUCUGGAAGGUCUCAGAAGGAUGGGUUGGGUUGGGAAGGUCCUGGAAGGUCAGAAUAUGGGUUGGGAAGGUCCUGGAAGAUCAGAAUAUGGGUUGGGAAGGUCCUGGAAGGUGCCAUACCAGUGGCGGUGUCGCCCAGCAGCGGCGCAGCGUUCAGCGUUGGCAUUCCCAUGAUGCCCUGGGGCAGCACCCUCAAUGGCGCCUCCCCCAGCAGCCCCGGCUUCUGCAACGCAACGCACCCAAAAUCCAACUUUUUCAACCCAAAACCGCCCCGAUCUCACCCCAAAUUUCCCCACCCUCCAACCCCAAAUUCCUCCGUUCCCCAAAUCUUCC
rnacentral:lncRNA from 1 species